UACGUAGGGUCCGAGCGUUGUCCGGAAUUAUUGGGCGUAAAGAGCUCGUAGGCGGUCUGUCGCGUCUGCUGUGAAAACUCGGGGCUUAACCCCGGGCCUGCAGUGGGUACGGGCAGACUAGAGUGCGGUAGGGGAGACUGGAAUUCCCGGUGUAGCGGUGAAAUGCGCAGAUAUCGGGAAGAACACCCGUGGCGAAGGCGGCUCUCUGGGACGGUACUGACGCUGAGACGCGAAAGCGUGGGGAGCGAACAGG
rnacentral:rRNA from 1 species